rnacentral:lncRNA from 1 species
AAGCAUCUUCCCCAUUCUGGAUGCUGAAGACCGAGGGCGAGGUGCCUGUAGGGCUGGCUCCUCUGAGGCCUCACCUUGCCAUCUUCUCUCUGUGUCCUCCCAUGGCUGUCCUCUAUGUAUCUAUGUCCUGACGUCCUUUUCUCACAAGUACACCAGGAGGAUUGGAUCAGGGCCACCUUAGUGACUUCACAGCCUGUGUCACCAAUUUAAAGACCUCAUCUCCAAACAGUCACACUCUGAGGGACUGGGCAGUCAGGGCUUCAACAUAUGAAUUUGGGGGACACAGUUCAGCCCAUGACACAGGGGCUGGUCUUUUUUCAUGCAGGGGUGUAGAUGUGAUGCACAGUCACUGGGUGCUCUGUGGGACCGGUUAGCCACAGCCUCCCCAGAGGGGACAUGGUAGGAGCCCAGUGUGACUGACACUGGCCAAGGAGGGGUGAGAGGUGUCACAUGGAGAUAACAUCUACUUCUUUGCCUCAUCACACCAUGGGCUGUAGGGGGACUUAUUUUGUGUCCCAUCAAGAAUGAAGAGGACACAGUAUGUACAUUCUGUCUGAAUUUCAAAGGUGCAGAAACACCAGAGGGAAGGAUGUGACUGGGUAGGAGUGUCCCUUAGAAAUCAAGGGAGUCAAGUGCUAAGACAGAGCCCUCCUGAUGGCGGGGACAUGACUGCAUACCCAGGGGGUCUCAGCUGGACACCCACCCCCUGUCCACCACCAGCAGAGACUGGAUUCUACAGGCUGUUAGGGGCCCUGAGCCAAGGACUCAGGCCCAAGAGCCUUUGACCUUGGGAGAUUCCACACUGUUUACCACUACUGGCCAGAUCCCUUCCACCCCAGAAGCCCAGAUGGCCAGAGGCUGUUUGCUUGCUGCUAAUCGCAGAGGCAGUCAGUUGAGCCCAACCAGCCUCUCCAGAGCCCCCUGAACCCAGGUGUGGGGGUUCUGGGAAUGAAUUGCACAGCAUGGCUAUUUCUCUGCAUGAGCUUGAGAAGCUCUAUACACCUGGGUCCAGACCCACACUUUCAAGCCUGGACUGGGGCCCAAGUUGCAUUUUGCCUAGUGCCACACAGACUAGGAGGAAGUGCUCCUCUGGAUGGCUACAGGUUCUCUCCUCCCUGCCUUCAGGUCCCCUUCUAUUGUCACCAUGCCUAGCCAGGACUCCUUGGCCCUGGGCACUGUCACCUCACCAAGUGCCCCAUGGAUCCAGAAGCCAAGGUGCCCUGUGGGUCAGACCCUGCCCUAGGCCAUGCAGCAGGUAAGAGAUGGAACCCAGG